rnacentral:rRNA from 1 species
UACAGAGGUCCCAAGCGUUGUUCGGAUUCACUGGGCGUAAAGGGUGCGUAGGUGGUUGGGUAAGUCUGAUGUGAAAUCUCUGAGCUCAACUCAGAAACUGCAUUGGAUACUAUUCGGCUAGAGAAUCGGAGGGGGGACUGGAAUACUUGGUGUAGCAGUGAAAUGCGUAGAUAUCAAGUGGAACACCAGUGGCGAAGGCGAGUCCCUGGACGAUUUCUGACACUGAGGCACGAAAGCUAGGGGAGCAAACAGG